UCCGAAACAUUCGAAAGGGAAUCACUUAUAUGGAAAAGCUGAACGGCGAUGCGAUUCUUCAAUUCUGGAAUCGUGUUCUUGAAUCCUGGAGUCGGAUCAACACCAUCGUUUCAUGAACAGCGUCGCUUGGAUUCUAAAUGGCUCGUGGAGCAUCGCAUUUCUCAUCAUCUUUCGUUGUGACCUCGGUACCAACACCAUGAUGGCGCAUCUUCGCAUUGCGUUCACCACUUCGCAUCAACGUCAUCUUCUCACUUCGCCUCCACAACAGUCACUGGAACGGAUUCGCGGUUGCAGGAAAGCAAUCUUGGAACGUCCAAUCGCGUCGAGCGACCAUCAUCUGAAUCGACUCGUCUUUGCACGCACGAAGUUUGGAAAUGCGAUUGCAGCCAGACCGCUAUUGGACUGAGCCUUGCGUAUAGACAAAAGAAAUAAAACGAAUUGAGAAAGCUAACCGGAUCGUAAACAAAAUGAAGAUUAUGAUUCGCGUUGUGUUCGUGUGUUGCUUCCUCUCCAAUUCUUGUUUCGAUUCUGUCGCGAAGCCUUGGUUGCAAAUUGAUGCAGAAGAUUGAAGUUCAGUUUGCAGCAUGAAAGUCGGUUGCAGAACGAAAAUUAUGAUUGUUGAAUGAAGACUUGUGAUUGCAGAAUGGUGCAACUCAGUUGUAGAGUUUGGAUAAAAUCAAUUGCAGCCUCCAUAGAAAUUAGUUAUAGAAAUAGGUAAGUACUAUUUAUAAGCUUCCCUUUCCCAAUUCAGUUAGACACUACAAGAAUAACUUUGUGCAGCCACGUGAUUUAGUGACGUGAAAGGCACGUGGCAAAAAAUGUCAAUUACGACGUGAAUUUCACGUGGCUAAAGGUAAAAUAUAAUAAAAAAAUGGAAUGACAACUUUUCAGGUUAGGGGGAAAUGAAAAUAAUUAAAAUUUGGUAGUGACAUGCAGAUCACGUCGCUAUUUUAAAUUUAAAAUUCAAAUAAUGUUUUGUGAAAUGUAAUUCACGUCGCAACUAGUGACGUUCUGAUCACGUGGGUACAUGUGGUGUAAUUUAAUUUCCGAAAUGACAAUCACGUCGCAAAUAGCGACGUGACAAGCAUGUGGGUACUGGGUUCAGAGAGACGUUAUAGAUGACCGUUGAAUGUUUUGUGGCGUGUAAAUCACGUCGCAAAUAGCGACGUGUUUACCACGUGGGAACCUUUCCUUUAACUUCCCUCUUCUCUCCCUCUUCCCUUCACCGUUUCAUUCUUCUUCGUUUCCUCUUCAAGCUUCCACCAGACCCAUUUUCCCUUCAAGUUCCUUCAACCCAUUUCUCUCCUUCAAGCUUCAGAUCCAUUUUGAAAUUGGAAAUUUAAAGGUAAAUACUUUUAUUAUUUCAACUUAAACCCAUUUCUGUUUAAUAUAUAUGAAUUUUAUUUUAAUUAUUGUAUUUUUUUUUAAGAAAUAGCUAAGAGUGAAUUAUUCAUUCAAGAAUUUGGAGCAAACAGAUUCAAAGUCUUCAUCCAGGGGUGUUCUUCUAUUGGAACUUUGGGAGGCAUAAAUACUUGGAGAUACGUAUAUUGAUUGGCUGACUAGUUUGAUGAUUUAGAUGAACUUGCAGGGUUGAAUUUGAGUUGUAAUUGGGCUAAACUACCUCAGUCAGCUUAUGGUUAGUCGGAACUCUCGUUUAUUAGUUGGCUACCUCAGUCAGCUUAUGGUUAGUCGGAACUCUCGUUUAUUAAUUGGGCAAAUUUUGGGGUACGACAGUUGGGUGACUUGAUCAAGCUCGGAUCAAGGGAAGAGAACAAGUUAGGAUCAGUAUCAAACAUAGGGUUUGUAGGGUUGGAUUGCUACUUUUCUCUUGUAAACAAUUUUUCAAAAAGUAAGAUUGAUUAUCUCAAUUCCAUUUGGAAUUGGGGGCGGAAGUAGUCAUAACGAGACCGAUUGGUGAAUUGCCUAAACAAAUCCUUGUGUUCUCUCACUCUCUCUAUUUAUA